AUAAUAUAUAAAUUUGUCAAAUAAAUCAUGAAAAUAUAUCAAAUAAGAGAUAAUAGGGCUAAAAUUCUUAAUCUAAUUAUAGUAUUUUGGGUGAUGAAUAGGUUCAAAAGGUUAAGAAAGUUUAAGAGUACUAGGAUGGAAGCUAGAUAGUUGGUAUUUUUUUAUUAUGGCCUAAAGCUAGAUGGUUGGUAAAAUAUCUAAAUGGAAUACCAUAAUUGGCUUUUAAGUUACUUUUGUUUAAAAUAAAAUGAAU
rnacentral:lncRNA from 1 species